rnacentral:misc_RNA from 1 species
GACUUCAUCCGUAUUAGCCCGUCUUCAUCAUACUCUCGCCAUUUCCUCGACCCCUACAGACAAGCACAUCGCCCUUUCCCUUUUCUAACUGUUCUUUGUACUUCCUCUCUGUUCCUCCCCGUGCACAGCAAUGUCCGGUGUCAGCAAGCACUUGGGGGAUGUGUUGAAGCUGCAGAAGCAGAAUGAUAUGGUGGAUAUGAGCUCUCUAUCCGGCAAGACCGUGUUCUUGUACUUCUCGGCAAGCUGGUGCCCGCCGUGCCGUGGCUUCACCCCGAAGCUGGUGGAGUUCUACGAGAAGCAUCACAAUUCAAAGAACUUCGAGAUCAUACUUGCGUCAUGGGACGAGGAGGAGGAGGACUUCAAUGGGUACUACAGCAAGAUGCCAUGGCUUUCCAUCCCGUUCGAGAAGCGCAACGUUGUGGAGGCGCUAACGAAGCAGUACAAGGUGGAAUCGAUUCCGACGCUGAUUGGAUUGAACGCGGACACGGGUGAUACCGUGACAACGCGCGCGCGCCACGCCCUGACGCAGGACCCCGAGGGCGAACAGUUUCCGUGGAGAGACGAGUAAGGCGACUGUGCGGGUGAACCACACAGGCUUGAUCUCCCUGCUGCGCUCGUGGGCUGUGCGAGGGCCAGCGCGCGCGGAAGGGCGACGGUGCUGCUGCUUGCGCCCCCUCCCCUGUCCCAGUCUUACCGGGCAACCGCCACUGUCACGCCCGGCCGUGCCCCCCCCCUCCCCUGGCUGGCACGGCGGCCGCUGUUCCCGUUCACCCGCUUUACAGGUCCGCUGCUACGGCUUGCCACGGUUCUGCCUCCGUAUUUAUAGCUUCCCUCUCUCAUUGCUCUCUUUAGUCUCUUUCUUUCUCUGACUCCCCUACUUCUCCCCCCCUGUGUGCAACACGCGGCGGUGCCUGCGCACGUAUACACAUCUGUGCGGGCUCGCUUUCCAAGAUUCAGGCCUCUGUUUUGAAGCGUGUUGUGCCCCAGUGACCAGCGUAUUAGAAAUGUGUGCCUUCUGGUGCGUCCGUGCGGUGCUGCGGAGCCGACAGCCUCUUGUGUGUGCGUGAAGGCUGCACUGUGUGCACUGGAGAUGCUUAU